UAGUAUUGGAGGAAGCGAAAGUGUACGGAAAACUUUAAUGAAUAGUUUAUCGCGUUACAAUAUGAUAAAAUUAACCAAUACUUUACAUGAGUCUAGUGUCCCAGUGUGUACAAACAUAGUUUACUUUUAAUAUCUGCUUCAUUGCAAUAUAUCAACUCACUGUUUACUGUCCUUCCAGAAAUUCUGUGUCAUGUUCGGAUCAACGGAAAGCACCACGCAACAAUAGUAAAUUGUUCUUUAAAAAUCCAUCAUAGUAGCAUCCGCAAGCUGAAGCAUGCAAUCCCGAACCCAAUCGUCUACCGAACCGCACAAAAAAAAACCUGCUAGAACAAACCGCGAAGAAGCAGCGCUCCAAACUCCCAAACAACCUAAUUUUUCUCGUUUUCGCACGGUCAAUUAAAUGGGACACAACUAUUUCCUGAGCGCAGGCGAGGAUAGCAGUGGAGGAAUGAAGAAGAACCCAUCGGUGUGUUGUGCCCAAACCCGAAAACGACUAAAAGGCGACCAAGGCGAGCCUCCCGUAGCCUUUCCUCCUCGCCGUUCGCCGGGUUCGCGUUUUGUCGAGUCAAUCGGAACAUGGUUCCGUAUGGUGGCGGCAUCGGUCUCAAAAAGGCUGCGACUUUUCCCACACUCUUGCCUCACCAGCUUUGGGAUGAAGUACAAGAAACAGCGAAACACAAACUAAAACGACUGGAUCGACCUGAGAGUAAGAGAGAGAGAGCGGGAGAAGGCGCGCGCGCCCUCCGAACACUUUGAGUCGCGCCGUUCCCGGGUUUCGAUGAUUCUCGAGCGAAAAAAAAAGCGAAAACAUACACACCAAAUCGCAGAUAAAUAGAUAGUGGUGAAGAUAGACGCAGGCGAAACACGGUGCCCGCGCACGGGUACGUAUGGCAAGGGAACGGUGCACGGUGCGAUCCGGGACGAUUCGCAAUAGCCAGCGAUCGAAAGUAGCCGAAUCGCCCCAACCAUCGAGGUUGUGCGGUGCGGUGACACCAGCAAGCGAAAGGAACCAGCAGCGCAAAGUGAGAUACCGCGUCCUGGCUGGCAUCGGUGUCCCAUUGUGUCGCGCGGGAGUGCCCUUGUCUUGUUGACCUUGUCCCGUUGCUGCUGGUCGGACGACCCGCGGGGUUCCUAUUUAACGCGUCGUGGUUGCAAGUUGAAAGAGAUUUGCCGCCGUCGCUGCUGGUGCUGCAUAACGAAGCAGGAAUCAAUUUUUAAUGGGCUGGCGGCGUGCUGGUACGAAAAAAACCAGGGAAGCAAUGCAACGGUGAAACGGUAAGGUAUUAAUUAAAAUAUGUAAAAUUUUAAUUGCUACAAAACAGUGCGGUAAGUGCGCGUGUAAGGUGUGAACUGUCACCAAGCGGUAAGGGAUGCGCUCGAUGGGAGCUAAUUUACAUUUAAACCCAACAUCCAUAGUACAAUGUUCUAAACCGUUUCUGUGGCAGCAUUACACAUUCUUACCGUAGGAAAGGUGUGCAGCGUUCGAAAGUGUAGUAUGUUGAUCGAUGUGUGUGUGUGUAUGACGAGCGGGAGCGCAACAAAACCUUCAUCGGACACGGACCACGUUCUACCGAGAACCGAAAUCUCAAAGGCAGCGGAUGCGCGCGCGCGCCCAUACGCGAUGGCGGAAGGCAUUCGAAAAAUGCUAUCCUGCUGCGUUUUUUCCACUCAUCGUACGCGUCACGAUUAUUGAUAUUUACAAGCGCCUUGUCGGGGGAUCCCGCGAACGCUUACGUACCCAAGCAUGGACCGGGCAAGACUCCAUGCCCGGCCGCCUAUGUGCACGAUAGUGCUGUGCUGGUUUUGGUUUUGGCUCUCGUCGACUACGACACACACACACACACACUCGAACGCACUGGAAACGCGAUGGCCACAAUCAAUCAAUAUCAUCUACUGCCGUCGCCGUCGUUCCGAUUGCCACAAUGAUUAAUCUAAUGUUGUCACGGAGCGCCGUGCCCGCGUAAAGACUUGCGCACUGUAGAUAGAUGCUGGACCGACCAGCAUACCGACGGACGGCGACGACGACGACGAGAUUGUUAAACUCUGGCAAGUUCGUGCUAGUUGAAUUUUUUCCGACAACCAAAAAAAUUGAGAUCUCGUUCGCGCGAGCCCCGUUAUCGUUCUAGGUGCUAGUUGGCUAGUUCGAACAAAAGCGGACACAAGGAGAGCGUUCCUAGCAUACCAGACUUCAUUCUUUCGUAGCGUUGGAUGAAACUCUCAUCCAUACCACAUCCCCUCGUUUGCUCGAGUUUAAAAAGUUGGCACUUCCAAUCCGAUUCGCACUAAAUCGGUUUCGAUUAAUAACCAUAAUCGAUAAUUGGUUCGAGCCUCCAUGCCAUGAAACUAAUGGACGGCGAUUAGCAGAGCGUACGAUAUGCUCGGCACCGGUGCCGAAACCUGUCUGUUCGCUUCGCCAGUUCCUGCCGCCUGCCAAAAGGCGCCCUUACGAACGCGCCCAGAACACACAUUCCAUAAUCCAUUUUCACAAACACCGAACUAACCCCGCGCCUCGACUCUAUGGUGGCGAUCAGUUCAGACAUUCUCGUGGCUUAAAAGCGGGCGGUACGCCGCGUGUCACCGGACAGUGCGUUGUCCGUCCGUGUGGGGAGGAAGGCGGCUACAUCGCUCGGGAGGAUUGAUAUUUGGCAAGAUAAUUCAAAGAUUUCGGGCGGCAUCGCUUAAUCCUGCGCCACGCUGUACGAUGAUAAAUAUGAGAGAAGGCAAGCGCAGAACGUGCGUGCGAAGGUUCUUGUUUUUUUUUUUGGGGGAGGUGGAAGAUGGCAUGGAUGAGGUUUCAAAUAUUCUACAUCCCCACGCCGUGGUGUGACACCGCUUGCCGCUUACGGUUAGCGCCGAAGUAGCCAGAUGUGCCGCUCGGCUGCGGUUCGCGUCGUUCGCAACUUUCUUAAUGAUGUCAAUUAAUGGGUGAAAUAUUGCAGCGAUUUUAAAAACUCGUGUUGAGCGAAUUGUAUUUAACAGCUGGCCUGGAUGGUGCGGUUCCGUGAGCUGUUCGGGCCCCUGGCGAGCAUGGCGUUUUCCCACGCUGAUGUUUCACUUCAGGGCGCAUUAUUUGGAUGUGGUAGGAGAUUAUUCAUAUCAUGCGGUAUGAUUAAAAAAUCAAAGCUAUAUGCCUGUCCCUUUCCAAUUGUCCACCCCUGACCAAUCACCCUCCUAAUAACGCAGAGUCAUUGGCUGCGUACGUAUACCGGUACACCGCAGCCGACUGGACAGAUGCUGUCAUUCUACUCCGUUGCCAUGGUAACUGUCUAGUAUCCCGCGCAAAA